GUGACGAAGCGACGCCGCGUGGGUGAGGAAGGCCUUCGGGUUGUAAAGCCCUGUCAGGAGUUAAGAAAUGUAAGUGCGCUAAUACCGCAUUUAUUUGACGAAGGCUCCAAAGGAAGUCACGGCUAACUCUGUGCCAGCAGCCGCGGUAAUACAGAGGUGGCAAGCGUUGUUCGGAAUUAUUGGGCGUAAAGAGCACGUAGGUGGGUUUGCAAGUCAGACGUGAAAGCCUCCUGUUCAACGGGAGAAUUGCAUCCGAAACUGCAGAUCUUGAGUAUAGGAGGGGAGAAUGGAACUUCUGGUGGAGCGGUGAAAUGCGUAGAUAUCAGAAGGAACGCCGGCGGCGAAAGCGAUUCUCUGGCCUAUUACUGACACUCAGUGUGCGAAAGCUAGGGGAGCAAACGGGAUUAGAUACCCCGGUAGUCCUAGCCGUAAACGAU
rnacentral:rRNA from 1 species